CUACGGGAGGCUGCAGUGGGGAAUAUUGCACAAUGGGCGAAAGCCUGAUGCAGCAACGCCGCGUGAGGGACGACGGCCUUCGGGUUGUAAACCUCUUUUAGCAGGGAAGAAGCGAAAGUGACGGUACCUGCAGAAAAAGCACCGGCUAACUACGUGCCAGCAGCCGCGGUAAUACGUAGGGUGCAAGCGUUGUCCGGAAUUAUUGGGCGUAAAGAGCUCGGAGGCGGUUUGUCGCGUCUGCUGUGAAAAUCCGAGGCUCAACCUCGGACCUGCAGUGGGUACGGGCAAACUAGAGUGCGGUAGGGGAGAUUGGAAUUCCCGGUGUAGCGGUGGAAUGCGCAGAUAUCAGGAGGAACACCAAUGGCGAAGGCAGAUCUCUGGGCCGUAACUGACGCUGAGGAGCGAAAGCGUGGGGAGCGAACAGGAUUAGAUACCCUAGUAGUC
rnacentral:rRNA from 1 species